UAACUAGUUGGUCGCUUAAGU
rnacentral:piRNA from 1 species